UACGUAGGGGGCAAGCGUUGUCCGGAAUCAUUGGGCGUAAAGAGCGUGUAGGCGGCCCGGUAAGUCCGCUGUGAAAGUCCAGGGCUCAACCCUGGGAUGCCGGUGGAUACUGUCGGGCUCGAGUCCGGAAGAGGAGUGUGGAAUUCCUGGUGUAGCGGUGAAAUGCGCAGAUAUCAGGAGGAACACCAAUGGCGAAGGCAGCACUCUGGGACGUGACUGACGCUGGGACGCGAAAGCGUGGGGAGCAAACAGG
rnacentral:rRNA from 1 species